AGUAGGUUUAGGUUGUGAAUGUGAUCUAGACCAUAUGUAUUGGAGAUUGAGACUAGUAGGGCAAGGCCUACUG
rnacentral:miRNA from 1 species